CCUGUCUCCGGCCUGCCCCGCCCCUUGCCCGAGGGCGGGGCAGGGGCGGAGACGAGACGGCGCGCGGCUUUACCUUGCGCGGCGGCGGCGGCGGCGGGCGGCGCAUGCGCACGGCCGGACAGGUCCGCGGCGCCCUCACUUCCUGGCGCCCCCUCCCCCCGCCGCUGCCCUGCACAUCCGGGUCUCUCACCCUCCCCGCGCGCGCCGCCGCCGCCGCCGUCGCCUGGCUCGUCCGCGGCUCCGCCGGAGGGGCAGGUGCGGAGGGCCCUGCUCCCGCUCGCCCGCCCGCCCGCCCGCUCCGCCCGCCGCCGCCCGGGCCCGCGGCUGCCCAGCGCCGUGAGGAGCCGCCGCGGCGGCCGAGCGAGGAGCAGGGGCGAGCGCCCGAGCUCGCGGCGGAUAGAAGGACAAGGACAGAAUCACCAGCACUGGCUGAAGGUUUGCUGGCAUGGGUAAUCUCAUUAAGGUGCUAACCAGGGACAUAGACCACAAUGCAGCACAUUUUUUCUUGGACUUUGAAAGUAAGUCUCCGCAGCCCUUCACAGCUGGUGCUAAUGGUAAAGAUGCAGGACCCGUGAAGGCCAGCCAGACAUGUUAACUAAACCUGGGGACCAAACAAAGGUUGCAUGGUUUUGUCCCUUAACUAUAGGCAAACAUCACCAUCAUAUGUAUAAUUCUUGAGUUCUCAUUUGCUACAAUCAUGUUGAGUCUGUAGCCGGUGCUGUCUUUUCAUUAGUCCAUGAAGCAAGCAGCCUUAUGAUGAAUGUUCUACAAGUAUACUUUAGUGACUGCCACAGUCUGCUCACUCACCAUCCUACAAUAAUUCACCUUCUUUAAGAAGUAAAUCAGUGCUGCAUAACUAAAAGGAAUACUUUAAAUAGCUUCCACAAAUUUUUCAAAUCAAAUUUGGUUAGGAAUACCUGAUACAUUGAUUGACAUACAGGAAGUUAAGCUUUACAUUUUAAAAUGAGAUGUGAAGGUCAGCUUUGGCCAAAUCUCUUAAUAUUUGGCCUUGAAAUAAAUUGUUGUUUCAUUGCUAUACA
rnacentral:lncRNA from 1 species